UGAUAUCAUUUAUUCACAUUUAUUACACCAACUUUUUAGUCUAUUUAAUUGAAGUGGUGUUAUUCUUAUUACAUAACAUAAAAUAUAUAGUGAAAUCAAACAAAAUGGCUUCUCAAAACUAUCAAUCUUCUUGUCUUUUUGGAAUUUUAUGCAUUACUUUGAUUUUGACUUCAGUUACAAGCUUCGAGACUCCAGCAGUAGAGGAUAACUUAAACUGCCCUUACGGGAGAAGAGGACCACCAAAUGCUUGCUGCAUAGAGCUUUGUAGUUCAAAUUGUGCCACUGAUUGCGUUAUUGGAAGGAAAAUGACAAAAGGGGGACAAUGUUGGUUUCCAAAUUAUGACGAGAAGUACUGUUGUUGUUUUAUUUAAUGAGCUAUGUUGUACCAUUACAAUUUUUGAAAAUAAAGAUGCACUUGAACUUAGCUUUU